AAAAUACCUAAAUCAAGAACUGGCUACAGAAGCCUGUGGUGUUUUGGGCUCUGCGUUUUGUGCUUAUUCAAAUGGCAGCAUCUCGGCAGCAGGCACUGAGGCCGGACUGCACCAGUUCCCACCAUGCUGAGGGGCCCCAUAGUGGAAACGCACCCUUUGUCCCCAUGUAACAAAAAAGCAUGGAGUCUUCAGCUCGGGGCAGGAGGAAGGCUGCCAGGCACCCUCAUAUUGUGAACUGCUGCAACAGUGCCUGCCUGAGUCUAUCGCUAGCCCACAGCAGUGAAUCGAUGAACCCCACUGUGUCUUCUACUAAUCUGCUUGGACCAUUGGCUUUAAAACUCAGUGAUGACACUGCAGUGUCAAUAUUAACCUUGUAAUCGCUGAUUGUUUCACUGGGUGGAAUGAUGAAAAGGAUGGGGACCCGAAGCAACUUGAGUUCAACAUUAGGAAUUGCUGCAAAGGAGAAAACAGAGAAAAAAAGAACAGACUCUCAAAGAAGGCUUUAAACUAGGCUCGUCGGGGGAAGGGGAAGAUGAGGGCGGAGGAAACAUCAGACUGCCAGACCAAACAGCACCCACAACUACAGCCCAGCCCAGCCCAGCCCAACAAGCAAAGCGAAUAAACAGGUAAGAGAUAGGAGCCA
rnacentral:lncRNA from 1 species